CCAAGCAUUUAUCAAAACCCUAAAAAAGAAAUUUCUCUCACCUCACUCUCCUCUCCGGCAUCUCUUUCUCGUUACCUCCGCUCAUUCAAGGGGGAAGAAAAAACCAUUGCACAACCAUAUUCUCUCACUGUGUCGCUCACUCUCUACCAACAGCGUGAUUCCUCGUCUCUUCACUCUCUCUGAAAUGUCUUCUAUCGUCCAGGAAAAUGAAGCACGAAAUCGGGCAUUAUGGAAGUGAGUUAAACUGGACUCAAGGAUUCACUCGUCCCUAUUCUCAAAUUGUCUCUAUUUUUCUGUGCCAAUCUAAUGUUUGCAGUAAAAGCCAAUGAUACCACCAAUUCAUAAAGGAUAGCAUAUGAUUGUUCACAAAGCAGUCAUCCUUCUUUUAUGUUUUCACUAGUUGAAUGUUGCAAAUAAGAAUUGGGAUAUCCACACGCUAUGGAAGGAUCCCCGGAAUAAGGAUGUUGUGCCCUGUCUUGACCCCUGUUGAUAAGAUUCUUUUUUCCAACUGGAGGGGGGAAGUCCAUGUGUUACCAGAUGACGACGCUCUCAAAAUCAGGAAUUGGUCUUGUUGUUUCUUCACUAAUAGGAAAAUCAAGUCAUGGAACUAAGGGGAAAGGGAUUGCUGUAGAAUAUCUGUCACCGACUCAAACAUUAGAAAUCAGGCAAAAGGUAACUGAUUUAUCCUUUAGGUAUACAGAACAGUCGAGAGUUAAACUUAAAUUUGAUCACUAUGAAGUUGAAUUUGAUCAUGGUGUUGGAUAUUCAUGUUUUUAACCAUAAAACUCGAAAGGGAAGAAAAGAACAUGAAACCAUAUAUGUUCUGACUUGUAUAUUCUGAAAUUUUGUCAUUAGAUUUUUAAAGACCUGAGCUCCGAAGAGUUGUCAUUAAGGUUACAUUAUGUUCCUCCAGAACUGAUUGCAACAACUCGAGGUUUGUUGAAUCUAAUUGUCAAAACUGACAAAGCUCUAUCCUAAAGGUUUAUUGAAUCCCAUGUAACUGUAAUUGUGUCUUAGCAUUUUUUCAAGAUUGAUACUUCAUUUAUGAUAGAGUUUGUCGUUUUCAGGUGGAAAUGUUUUUGUUUCUUCCCAUAUCCUUACCUCGUACCCAUUAGGUAGUAUGUGAUGAUGUAACAGGGUAAUGCCAGUAAAUUGAACAAAAUGAAGAACUUUUGUUCUUAUUUUUGCUUAACAGCAAAGAAUAUCAUUCUAAUCUAUCAGUUUCAGCAGUUUAGCAGUGCACUCCGUAGUAACAGUUUUUUUUCUUCUUCAUAUUACCUUAGGCCCAGCUAUCCCAACCUUUUGUCUUUAAGGAACCACCUUUCUGGGGUACCAGUAGUCAGUGUUGGUUUUGACAGCACCAACUGUUCCAAAGUAGGUUCUGACACUUAUUCUUUAGUAGAACACUAACAUACUAAUGAGUUAUAAUUUGAUUUCAUGAAGAUGGCAAGAGAAUGGACUAAUUUUGAAGCUUAAUUAUUAAAACGACUAAGAAGAUAAGCAUGAUGACAACCUUAAGUCUAAGAAGAUUUCUAAAGCUUCGGAUCUGCAUGAUGGGGAACUGCAGAAUACUGAGGAGUAUCAAGUGAAUGAAGACUGCAGGCUCGUGGUACUAUAAAGUUUCAUUGUAUAAGUUUUUACUUGUUGAAUCUUCAGUGGAUUUUUGCUUAACUGAUCAAACACAUGUGAUGUAUCUCAUAUAAUUAAUAAAAAGUAUUUUGGAUCA